ensembl:lncRNA novel transcript, antisense to PSD4
AGUGCUACUGAAGGCCUGUGGUGAGGCCAGCAGAGGCUCAGGAAGGGAGCAGAGGAUGGCGGUCUGAGGUUUUACAACUCUCUCUCUCCAUCAAGCUGGGUAAGUCAGAAACCUGAAGUCACCAAGACCUAAAUGCAAACCCUCCACUCUGGGCCCCAGCCGCUAGGGGUGUCUCCGGAACAUGGCCAAGGCUCAAAGUCAGCACCUGCUCUGUGCAGGCUCUAUGCUACAAGCCGCUGACCUAUCAGGAAUAAAACACAUGACCCCUGUGGAAGCUGAAGCAACUCCAUCUUGGAAGCUAACCUGCCACAUUGACUUAACUGAGUGACCCCAGUUCCAAGGCAGGGCCUCUACAAUUUCCAGUUUAUCUAUUGUUUCCUGUGUAAGAGCAGAUACUUACUGUAAGUCCGUAAGUGCUACUCGUAGGUCAAACAACCUUGAUGAUAUCACACUUCAAUUGUCUUAUAAAUCCCAUCUGAACCACUCCUACCCUAUGGUAUAUGAGCCCUGGGUUUGGGUGCUAAUGCGGGGAUCCACCAUCUCAUCUCAUUGCCGCCUG